AACGAACGCUGGCGGCAUGCCUAACACAUGCAAGUCGAACGAGACCUUCGGGUCUAGUGGCGCACGGGUGCGUAACGCGUGGGAAUCUGCCCUUGGGUUCGGAAUAACAGUGAGAAAUUACUGCUAAUACCGGAUGAUGUCUUCGGACCAAAGAUUUAUUGCCCAAGGAUGAGCCCGCGUAGGAUUAGCUAGUUGGUGGGGUAAUGGCCUACCAAGGCGACGAUCCUUAGCUGGUCUGAGAGGAUGAUCAGCCACACUGGGACUGAGACACGGCCCAGACUCCUACGGGAGGCAGCAGUGGGGAAUAUUGGACAAUGGGCGAAAGCCUGAUCCAGCAAUGCCGCGUGAGUGAUGAAGGCCUUAGGGUUGUAAAGCUCUUUUACCCGGGAUGAUAAUGACAGUACCGGGAGAAUAAGCUCCGGCUAACUCCGUGCCAGCCGCCGCCGUAA
rnacentral:rRNA from 1 species